rnacentral:lncRNA from 1 species
UUAAAAGAUAGAACAGUCUAGUCAAGCGCCAUGUCUCUUGUUCUUCGAUUAACUAUAGCUCUAGAGUUUUUACAGAUUUUCAAAUAAAACUCAGAGAUUCCUUGUAUGACUCUCUCUAGUCUCUCUUUUGUGGUAUUUAUAGAUCUUUACCAAGGCAGUAAUGGUGUAUGCCUUCUCUCAAAGUAUGUGGUAUUUUUUGUAUGAGGCAUAGUGGCAUUGCCUUCUCUCUCACCCUACUCUAAUAAGGUUUUGAUAUCUGGAGCUCAUAGGUGGGAGAUAGCUAAUACAUACUUACAAGACAUUUAUUGCAUAGUCAAACCAUGGAUCCAGAAGAACAAGUCAAUAAGUCAAAUCAAGAUGUGCAUGUGUGGCGAAUGAAUGGUGUAUGGUGAUGAUGGUGAUAACAAUGGUGAAAGUCUAAUUCUACUUUUGCUCCUUUGAGGGGAUACAUACCUUUCUUGCUCCUUUGAAACUUUUUGAGGAGAAUGAGAUACUCUAUCUUUUCUUUUUCUUUUCUCUCAGGUGGGUAUCUUGUACCCCUAAUUCUACUGUCGGACACUUGUCCAUUUUUACCUCUCGUCUCACUUUUUCUUUCGAGGUUCCGGGCACUUGCCCCUUUUUAUUUCCUCGUAUAUU